GGCGAUUAUAAUCAACCCCUUCUCGCGGGAAUCGCCGUAAGUAGCUGAUUGGCGUUGAGCCAGAUGGUGAAACUAAGUUGAU
rnacentral:ribozyme from 1 species